rnacentral:rRNA from 1 species
AUUGACAGAUUGAUAGCUCUUUCAUGAUUUAGUGGUUGGUGGUGCAUGGCCGUUCUUAGUUCGUGGAUAUGAUUUGUCUGGUUGAUUCCGAUAACGAGCGAGACUUUUAUGUUAUAUUAAAUAAUAUUAUUAUUAAAUUUUAUUUUUAUAUAAUAUUUUAUUUUAAUAACAGAUUAAUAGUGUUUAACUAUUUGAGAGAGAGCAAUAACAGGUCUGUGAUGCCCUUAGAUGUCCGGGGCUGCACGCGCGCUACAAU